rnacentral:lncRNA from 1 species
UUUCCUACAUUUGCUACUAUGGUCACACAUGUGAGAUGUGAGGGCACAUAGAGGUUAGAUGUUAUGUUUCUAAUAGCUCACACAUCCCACUUUUGAACUUGUCUUGUUUUUAGUGUCCCCACCCCAACUUCUAGUCCCAGUUUCUUGGGUAAUUACUCUCUUUUUUUUUUCCCCUCUCCACUUCCCAGUCAGUAUUUUGUUACCUUUAUCUUUUUCCUCAAAGAUGAAAAAUCUGCUUUACAGCACAUCUUGCCCUGAAAAACAUCAGAACUACCUUCAGCUAAGCUCUGUAACCUUUAUGGAAUAUUAUCUUAUUCUAAUUCAGUUAUAGCUGUGAUCCUCAAGUAAGUUUUUCUACCACAGAAAUGAUGUCUUCUUUUCAUCCGGUAGGCAUCACGGUUGCUGCAUCACAUCAUCCAUGUGGGGAGAUGGCUGGUGUGGGAAGCAGGAUGGGGGGACAGGGCUAGAUAAAUUGUGAUUCUAUGCUUUACCUAAGGUCGAAAAUUCUAUGUUACAGAACAAGCUUCUGUACCCUUAAGUUGGUGUAUAAGAUCGCCCAGGCAGUGCCACAGAGAUUCCCUACUCAGUAGAUCAUCCUGGAAGAGUUUGUGUUAUGAUUCUGUAGACCCAUGUGA